rnacentral:rRNA from 1 species
GACGAACGCUGGCGGCGUGCUUAACACAUGCAAGUCGAACGGAAAGGCCCUGCUUUUGUGGGGUGCUCGAGUGGCGAACGGGUGAGUAACACGUGAGUAACCUGCCCUUGACUUUGGGAUAACUUCAGGAAACUGGGGCUAAUACCGGAUAGGAGCUCCUGCUGCAUGGUGGGGGUUGGAAAGUUUCGGCGGUUGGGGAUGGACGGGCGGCUUAUCAGCUUGUUGGUGGGGUAGUGGCUUACCAAGGCUUUGACGGGUAGCCGGCCUGUGAGGGUGACCGGCCACAUUGGGACUGAGGUACGGCCCAGACUCCUACGGGAGGCAGCAGUGGGGAAUAUUGCACAAUGGGCGGAAGCCGGAUGCAGCAACGCCGCGUGCGGGAUGACGGCCUUCGGGUUGUAAACCGCUUUCGCCUGUGACGAAGCGUGAGUGAUGGUAAUGGGUAAAGAAGCACCGGCUAACUACGUG